GCGACGCUGGAGUAGAGGUUUAACUUGUUCCCUUCCCAUUUUCUAAUAGUUAGGGAGAGACAGGGGUUCGACUCCCCUGCGUCGCA